CCUCCUUCUCUACAUCUUAUCCAUUCCUCUCCUCCCCAUUCUCUCUCAUAGCACUCUCAGAUCUAACCCUCAGCGACAGCCGUCAGAAACUUGCCAUGGAAGCUACGAAGACCGCCGCCGACUGACUCUUCCCCACGGUAUUCCUUUUGUCGCCAUUGUAUUUUACUACUCUCAUAUGUUCCCUUCUCUUACUGCAAAUUGGAUGCUCUAAUCCGAUUUCUCAUGCUUCUUUUAGAUCCACGCUUUUUUCUGCCGACCCGCCUAGCAGUUCUUGUACCACCGGUCACAAUCAUCUUCCUCAGGUCUAUAUCUAUUCCGUUCUGGUCUAAUUUACUGUUAAGCUGGCUUUGAGGCACCAAUACAUAACGUGGCUGAAACCCCUUAUGCCAGUGCUUUUGAUUUUUUUUAUCCUUAGUAUUGUGUCUGACUAGCUGAGACAUGGUGGUGUUUGAGUGUGGUCAGUCUUAAUAUCCUUUCUGUCCAAGGUAAACAAAAUAGAUGAGAGCGAUGGAUCUACCUAAUAAUUUACUUCAAUUCCACAACCCUCCUAUAAGCUGUGAAUUAUGUAUUACAAGAAAAUGAUAGUAGGCAUCCUGAUCCACCUGCAAUUAGUCUUCUCAUCACAAAAUCCAAACUGUAGCACCCACUUGUCACCUAUCAUGUUUUCUUCCCCUUCCAACCCAUACAGACUUGAGGCUGAUACUAUACUUCAAGCCAGCUCUUUGUGAUAGUGACAUUCACUCUCGUUUGCGGUAGGUCCGGACAAUGGCUUGUGUUCCAAUUUCGUCUAAGAUCCUGCUUGAUGCUAUGUUAGAGAAGGUUGGCCUUCCAGAGGCCACCUACUCAGCAAGCCCAAAAGAUGAUAGCCGUCUGCAAGUCACCGUUACCUUCUAUCCAAUCAAGAUCAGGCUCAAGGGUUCACCUGUCAAGGUUUCCCUUUCUACCUCGGACCACCAAGAUCUGGAGGAAGCUCAAGAUUAUGUAGCUGCUGUAGCAAUUAAGUACAUGGAUGCUUAUGAGGGCGUGGUUCCAAAAGACUACAUCUAUGAUCAACUGAAGGCUGUGGAAAAAACAAAUGCACUAUUGUAUGAGCAUCUCAAGGCAAUGAAGAGGGACAACACAUGUCUGAGACAGAAGCUAAAAGAGAGCAUUGGCAAAAACAAACUCCUGAGCAAAGGAUGGGAUGGAUCCCUGGACACAGAACAGAGCGUCGUCAACAAUCUUAAGCAUUUGGUCAGCAGCAGGAUGAGUCCAGGAUCUGCUCCAUAUGACCUAGAGCUUAACAAUGUUCUUCUCAAUGUAGAGGCCAACGGUGAAUAUCUUCAGCAGUACACCGAUGAGGCAAUGGUUAACCUUCAAGAGACUGGCGUUUAUCCGUAUGGUCAGGAACAACCAACAGAUGAAGAUGGAGGUCUGUCAACCCAAAGCGAUGGAAAUCCACCGUCACACCCAGAAUUAAGGACCUCAUUUUAUGAUGAGGAGAUCUUUGAUAACAAAGGGUGCUGCUCUAAUGACUUUCGUGCCCUGCCUGAAGAUCGCUUCUAAUCUCAUAAGGACCAUCAGAUCGGCAUCAUCAUCGUUAGAGCUAGUCGUUGUUUCCUACUAAUAUAAUUAUCUAUAGCCCUAUGUCGUGUGUGUCCUAUCGAACCAUGCUACAAUCAGUGCGUCCGAAUCUAUCUAUUUGGUUGUGAUUGUUUGUAUGUAAGUGUGCACCUGAUAAUGUAAUCUACCGUAUCGAACCAUAUCCUAUCGAACCAUGCUACUCUCAGUUAUGCAGCAUAUGCUACCAAAGCUUCGUGCUUUGUCUGUUUGUUUUGCUGCACGCUGUUGUAUUUGAAUCGUGUGUUGAAUUGCAUUUCUAUGCUUUCAAAUUUACCUGAGCAUUCUGCCUUUACUAUCAUACUUCUGUUACUUUCCUUACAUAGGUCCCUAUGAUUGCCUUUAAAUAGUUUUAACCUGUGCUUUAUUCCCAUGUCACUCAAGUUUUAUUUAGCUCCGUCCUGCGGACAUUGCCAGCUCAAUGGAUGAUGAUGAUUUCAUAGUCAAGGGGCUUCCACAGGUUACGGCUAGGCCAUGCAUAUGCUUCAACAUUCUUCGUGUUACUGUAUCCAAUUGACUUGAUAAACUCUUUUGUCUUCCUAUUGAAUGCAGCUCUCUGCCAUCUCUGUUACCAUUAGCAGAAAGUAUAUGCUUGAACAGGCUAUCAAGCGGAUCCGCGCUACAAUUCAUGCAUUUGAGCUUACUGAUGAUGACGACGGCACAGCAAUGGCAUCAGUGAAAAUUGAUCUACAGCCCCACAACAAAAGCAUCUUGCCAACCCAACAGGUGUUCUUUGGGGAAUCAACUCAAUUUGCCAGCGACGCUAUUGAGUCAACAUGUUCUGCUGCUUUGUCCUAUCUGUUGACAACGGGCAUAAUUACGAUAGAUGAUUACAACUCAGCGGAUCUCAAUAAUUGCCAGAGACAACUCAAAGCUGAGCAGUUCUGGUCAUCAGAGCUACAUGAUCGUGUGGAGUCAUUUCAAAAACAGCUCAGCUCCUUGGCUACGACAAAGAGGCCUCGUUUAGAGAGUAAUGAUAAUAGCACUCCAACAGCUAAAUGUGUGAAUGCAUUAGAGGUAAACAUUGCUUUGCUUUGCUCUCCACUUGCGUUCCUCCAAUACCACAUACCAUUUUACAUACAAUUGCUCAUUGACUUGUAGGAUGGCCUCAACGACACUCCCAGUUCGCUGCCGCUAAACAAACAAACAUCAACCAGGUAACAUGCCUUCCCUCCUGCUCUUUAGACUCAUGCAAUUAUAUACAUUACUCAUGUCUAUUGCUUUCCCAGUGAAACAGAUCACAGCUCCAGCAAAGAAACAAAAUCUUAGCCUGUUGCCCGCAGAGCUUUACUCUUUAAAGACUAAAUGCACGGAUCACAUGUAAGACAACUUCUAGAAUCAUUUCCUGUGUAGCAUUUUCAAAUGCACUGCCUAGACCUUGCUCGCCUUACAUACGGUUCUGUGCUUAUCCUUAUAAGUUGGUGCACAAAUCCCGGUCCUGCACUAUUAAUAUAUGCACUUUCUUUUAGAAUUGAGCAUACCGUGCUUGUCAUUAGCACUCUCGUUACAACAUCUACAUCUCUCUUUACACAAGAUUGUCAUAGCCCUAGCUUUAGCUUUGCUUGUGAGCUAGUCAUGUGUUGCAUCAUGUUUAAAUUUCAGUGAAACUUGAAAUGGGGAUUGCCUAAACCCUAGCAUCAAAGGAAUUCACUAGGUUCAACUAAAUAUUUUCAGUGAACCCAAAUGGCUUCCAAAAAUGUUCAUCAUUUCUGGAAAAUGCUGGAAACAUAACCAGGGGUGUUGCACAUUUUUCCAUGACAUAUUUGGGCUCUGAAUUAAAUCUUAUAGUAUUUGCAUUUGGACAUUUAAAUGCUAUUAAAUAUUUUAAAUGCUCAAAUAAUCACAAACUAAAAUGUUUACUGUUGGAUAUAUUCCAAACAGUAGUCAUGAUUAGUUUCAUGAUUUUUGGUAAUGCCCUGACAUUUUUAAUAAAGCCCUGAAGUUACAAAAAAAUAGAAAACAAAAAACAAUUUAGAAGGGAGAGAGAGAACGCCUACCUGGGCCACUUACCUGGCCGGCCCACCUGGCAGGCCCAGCACUGUGCUGGCCCGUGCCAGUCAGCUGCUUCCUCUCGCCAGGCAGGCAAAGAGGUGAGCGCCAGCGUGCUCGAGCUCGCCACGCCGUCACCUGCUUGUCGCCGAGCCGCUGGACGCGUGGAUGAGUUCCUCCUCGUCGCCCCGCACCCCCUGGAACCCCCUCGCUCACUGCCUCGUCCCCAUCCCCUCCUCUGGUUCUCUCCCCUGCAUCGUCCGAGCGCCGCUUGCCGUCGCCGUAGCUACCGCCCACGCCAAGCCCCAUUUCCGUGUUCCACUGGUCCGCCAUCGAUCACCGCCUCACCAAGCCGAAGGACACACCGCCGGAUGCCCUGUGACGACGCCUCCAAGCUCAUCACCGCCCGGACUUCGCCCGUUGUUCUCCGUCGUCCCUGCCUCCCCGAGCUCGACGCCUGUCUCAUUAGAACCGCGGUGAGCUGCUGACCAUUUCCCCUCUGUUCCCUUGCUUUCCCCCGCCCUCUAGUCGCCGCCGCAAGAUCACCCAAGCUCCGGCCGCCGCCAUGGCCGGCGAGCCUUGCGCUCGCGAGCUCCUCCGCUCAAACCCGCCGCACGGUUGUGCUCCUGGAGCUCCCAGGAGUCCAGAGAACCCCUUUGGCCAGCCGCUAGCACUCCGUAGCCUCGUUCCGCUUGACGUCCGAACACCGGCCGCCGCGCUUGUCAUCGCCGGCGACGAUUCCGGCCACCAUAGGCUCGGCCUCCUCCACCACUCGACGCGCGCCUGCAAGAGCUCUCCAACAAGCCCAAGAACGGCCUCGUCCGUGCCCUGUGGGCGUUUCCCGAGCCACGCCGCCGUCUCGGGCCUCGCCGGCGUCGAAUCGCCGGUGGGUUUGACCCACUUUGACCCCGGUCGGGCCCCACCUGGGUCACUGACAUGUGGGGCCGGUACUAGCUGGAUUAGUUAGAUGUUAGUUAGUGGUAAUCACCACUGUUAGGUGCUAAUCCUCUCGCUAAACUAAACCUGAGUCACUGACAUGUGGGCCCAGCCCCGCUGACAUUUUCGUUAGGAUUAGUUUAACCCUAAUCAACUUAGUUAACCAACUGAGUCACUGACCAGUGGGCCCCACUAGUCAGGUUUGACCUGGCGGCGCCUGUUAACCUGCUAAGGUCAGCAUGACCUAAUGCUGACGCAGUAAACAUUUCUGGAAUUAAAGUAAAUCAGAAAUGAUUUAUAAAUUUCAAAAAAUGAUCUAAACUUCUAAAAUUCAUAGAAAAUCAACCGUAGCUGAAAUAAUUUAUAUAUGAAAAAUGAUCAGAAAAUCUAAUCUAUCCAUCUGCACUGGUUUCAUGCAUGUUAGAACACAUUAACCUUGUUGUUUAGGUGAAACAAGUUAAUGCACUAUUAUGACCUCUUAAAAUGGGUUUGCAUUUGAAUCUUUGGUUCAAAUGGACUCAUCUCAAUAUGUUCUAGCUUGCAUUAGCCAAAACACAUUCUUAUUGCCAUGUCAUAGCAUGCAUCAUAUUGUGCAUUGCAUUGAUCGUGUUUCUUCUUUGUUUGCCGGUGUUGUUCCCCCUUGGUAGACGUUGUGCCGACGUUGUGAUCGUUGACACUGAUGAAGACUCAAUGCUAUCUUCAGAAGUGCCAGGCAAGCAAAAACCCCUUGUUCAUUCUGAUACAAUCCCACUCUCUCUCCUGCUCUCUUUUAUUGCAUUAGGACAACAACGAUUCAUCUGUUACUUGUUGCGGUAGUUGAACCCCUUUCCUCUGCAUGACCUGUCAUUGCCACAGUAAAUAGAUGAAACGCACUAGCAUGAGUAGGAGUUGUUUGAGCCCUGAUGUGCCUACUCAUUCAUGCUUGUUUGUCAUGCCUGCUACUGCUUAGAGUUGAGUCAGGUCUGAUUCAUCGGGGAUGAAUCGGAGGUGUGUAAACAUGUCCUAUUAUGUGUGACCUAAGUGUGUGAACACGAUUUGGUAAAGGUAGCGGUGAGAGGCCAUGUAGGAGUACAUGGUGGGUUGUCUCAUUGAAGCCGUCCUCAGGAACUGAGUUCUGUGUUUAUGGUCCAUGAAACAGUUACUACCACGCAUUGGGCCCGAAACCAAUGGACCCUCUCGGCUUCUUAAUCACCCUUGUCCUCUGUCCAGGAGUUGCAAGUAGUUUCUGGUGUUUGUAGUAUGCUGGAGGCUGUGGGCAGCGCUGACUGGAGGGGUGGGCUGUGAUGCGGUAGGCACGUGGCCGGGUAUACCAGGCGCCAGUUUGGUGUCACGGAACCCUGUACACAUCGUUUUGGGCUGUGAGCGAAACCCCGGCCGGAUAUCCUCGCGGAUGGAACCCGAAUAGGCGAUAAACCUAGACUAGAGACUUAAGUGUUUAGGUAGGUCGUGGCCGACACCCUCACUGGGCUUCCGCUUGAAGGUUGCCGAGUACAUGUCGUGUAAACGGCGGUAAGUUGUGAGAGCGUGUGUGAAGAAGUACACCCCUGCAGGGUUAACAUCAUCUAUUUGAAUAGCCGUGUCCGCGGAAAAGGACUUCUGGGUUGCCUAUACAGUUCAUAGACAAGUGAAAAUUGAUACUCUAAAAUACGCAAGAUAAGUGUGAGUGCUAUGGAUGGCGUUCUCGUAGGGAGACGGGAGCGGAUCCAUAGUGGUGUAUUGAUAUGGUGAAUAUGUGGACUCGUGUGCGCCACCUCAAAAGAGUUACUUGCAGUCGUAGUUUAGGAUAGCCACCGAGUCAAAGCUGGCUUGCUGCAGUUAAACCCCACCAUCCCCUUUGUUGAUAAUGAUGCAUAUGUAGUUAGUUCUGAUGUAAGUCUUGCUGGGUACAUUUGUACUCACGUUUGCCUAUUUUAUGUUUUUGCAGAGAGACUUCAGUCUCGCUAGUAGUUCCAUGUGGACUUCGACGUUUAGCUUGUUACCUCAGCUACGAUCUUGUGCCCUCGGCAGGAUCUGGUAGAUAGUCAGGCUUUUUAGCCUUUUUCAUUUGUAGAUGUCUGUACUCAGACAUGUUAAGCUUCCGCAUGUGCUUGAUUUGUAUGCUCUGAAUGUUGGGUCAUGAGACCUAUGUUUAUAAUAUCUCGCUCGUCGGAGCCUAUUGAAUAAAAUACUUGAGUCGUAGAGUCAUGUUGUGAUGCCAUGUUGUAUUUGCACAUAUCGAGCAUAUUGUGUGUAUGUUAUUGAAAUGCUUGGUAUGUGUGGGAUCUGACUAACUAGUUGUUUAUCCUUAGUAGCCUCUCUUACCGGGAAAUGUCUCCUAGUGCUUCCACUGAGCCAUGGUAGCUUGCUACUGCUCCGGAACACUUAGGCUGGCCGACAUAUGUCCUUCGUUCCUGUGUCUGUCCCUUCGGGGAAAUGUCACGCGAUGAAUACCGGAGUCCUGUUAGCCCGCUAUAGCCCGGUUCAUCGGAGUCCUGCUAGCCCAGUGCUAUAGCCUAGAUUCACUCGCUGAUGAUCGACACGUUCGAUGCUGGGUCAUGGAUGCCUGUCCCUGUAAGUUUGUGCCACUUUGGGUUUACGACUAGCCUUGUCAGCCCGGACUCCUUAUCAUAUAGAUGCUAGCGACACUAUCAUAUACGUGUGCCAAAAGGCGCAAACGGUCCCGGGCAAAGGUAAGGCGACACCCGUGGGAAUACCGUGCGUGAGGCCGCAAAGUGAUUUGAGGUGUUACAUGCUAGAUCGAUGUGGCAUUGAGUCGGGGUCCUGACAGCUUUGGUAUCAAAGCCUGACUGCCUGUAGGAUUACCAAGCCAAACUGGUCGAAGUUGUGUCUAGAAAUGCUUUAGUUAUGUAAGGGAAUUGAUUGUGGAAGGGAACGUAAGGCUCUUUUUACUCCUUAUACCUUAUGGCCUUCUGAUCCGAGUCAUCCUCUUCUCUUCUACGGGGUUUAAGAACUAGGCCUUCUUAUCUAUCUAUCAGGAUGACGUGUUACUAAUCCAGACUUAUGAGAUUGUUGGUUUUACGCCCCAGUUCAGUUUAUACUACUUUCGUGUGUCCAUAGUUGGUCUCGGAACCUUGAUUUUGUGCUUCUGAGUGGUUAUGCCACCAUUUUCGCUAGAUGUCUCAAAUAUUUUUGAGCAUUUACAGCUGUUAUGCUGUCCGAGUCAUCCCAGGUUUCUAAACAAUCUGAUGCACUUGCAAAUCAUUUCCCUCUGGUGUUUAUGUUCCUUUGGGCCAGGUUAAUCACACUAAUUGCUGAGCUGAGGUAUUCUAUUACCUCGACUUAUAUGUUGGAGUUAAUAUUAUGACCCUAGGUGUCUUAGAGAACCACCUAGUAAUCUAGCCAUGUUUUGUGUUCUCGGUGUGAUAAUUCUGGCCUUUAUUCUCGAAAGCAUCCCGUGAUGCCAUUUAGUAGUAGGUAUUCUACUCCUGGGUUUUCUGAACCCGAGAUUUCCCUACGUACUUCAUGUUGUUAGUGUUGCUCGUACCUUUAGGAUGUUAGUAACCAUUGCGAUAGUCCUCGAGGUCCGUGGUAUUUCCUUCUUUCAAAUACUAUGAACCACUUAUGGCAGAAGUUCCUCGCUGAACCGAAAGAUCACAACCAGAGUCCUCUUGAUGAGUUCUCGAUUCCAUGUUGUAACUCUGCCAAUCCUACCUCUCCGCAUGGAUUAUCCGAAAGAAAUUUGUUGAACUUGGUUCGACAUACUAAUCUAUGCAUCCACAACUCAGAAAAUCAUAUGUUCCUUUGAGUUGUCCCCCUUUAGUUAUACCCUGACCUUCAUCUAUCGAUUGAUAGUCAGGAGUAGUCGUGCAUUCGUGUUCAUCGAUGCCUUUUACUUCUGUGGUCCGUCAAGCCAUUCUAUCCGGAAUGACUAGGAGAAACAAACUCCAGUACCUCAUCCAUAUCCAGGAUUGCGUCAAAGCAGUUGUACUCCGCAGAUCAAAAUUAAUCAAGCUUUUGAUCCGUUCUACUCUGAAGUGUUACCCUCUUUACGUCAGGAUCGUCAUGAGAAUUGCACUAUCUCUUAUGAAUUCUUGAUGCAGUGAUACUUCUUGCCAUCAUUGUUCAUUUCUCGGUUCCCGUGUUGUUGCAACCGGAAUGCCGACGGGUGAACUAUGAUGUGUGAAAUCAAUACUCCUGGCAACUUUGUUGCUUGGUAGUUAAAGGACAAUAACCUCAUUCUUAGCAUGUUGGUUAUUGAAUCAUCACCAUAAGGAUGAUCGUGCUACCUAGUCCUUAGUUCCGGUGCAGUCUCCGACCAAUGAGUUAGGAUAGUGCCAAUCCUUGCUUAUUUGAUCAUAUCGUCUUGCCUGAAAAGCAAGAUUGUUCUCAAGCUUAGUAACAUAUCAAUGGUUCGUGAUUUUUCGAAUAUCUCCUCGAAAGUAUCACUAGGUCGUUACCCGACGGUUAUGUUGAGCUCGUGAUCAAGUUGGUUUCAUAUAAACCACCCCUUCUCCAAGAAUCUGUGUUGCAUACCCCUGAGCUGUUUGGUUAAGCUAAACAACAACUUGGAGAGUUGGAAGAUGGAAGCUCGUCUGAUUUAGUUCAUCUUAAGGGAUAUCUUUCUGUGUGUGUGUGUGUUGAAGAAAGAUGAUAUCUUCAUCAAUUGGUCCUUGUGAUCAGUUGUUGUACCUUUUUUCAUGCCAAAACUUUGAUUUGAGUGUGGGCUAUCGUCAAAUCAAAUCAGAACCAACGAUAUUUGUAAUGUUGUCUUACUCGUGGUUGGUCCCUUGAGCAUACACCAUUAUAUCUUUUGGGUCUGACCAAUGCUAUCACUUGUUCACAUAAUUAUGGAACUCCAUCUUCAUGGAAACCUGGAUGAAUUAUUGUUGAGCCCAUUGACAACAUCCUUAUCUCCUCCAUGAUCGUGUUGAACAUCCAGCUAGUAUUGGAAACUUCUAUAAGCAUUUCUUCAUGCUAGCUCAUGAAGCAUAUGUUCGGAUGUAAGAAGUGACUUUCUCCAGCUCAUGUGCAAUUGAUGUAAGUUGCCGCCGUGAGUUCGAGAAAGAUUGUUUUUGCUUCCUUGGAAUCAUCCCAAGUUAGUCACACAUGUGCGAAGUGCUCUAUGGUUUGAUAGGUUGGCCGCCUCCAUUCUAUAUGUGUUUCCUAGCACACCAAGCCACUGAUUGAUUUGUUCAGGGAGAAGAAGUUCCGUCUUAAGAAUCAUGACUUAUGCUAGGACUUCGUUAUCCUCGAUGAUGGUUCCCCCAACCUGAACUUGGUAGUAUUUUAUUAUAAGACUACCACGUGGUCAUGCUUGUCUGAGACAGCAUGUUCACAUAUGUGUAGCAGAACCAGCUCAUGUUUUGGAGCUUACUAUCGUAGUUCAUUUUCCGAGAAUCUCGCAACGUCAUCUCGUCGAUUUGUGUGGCAAACUUUCAUUUUUCUUUCCAGGCUCGAUGAGUCUGGAUUAUUUUUACACCAACCAUAUCUGAAUCUCAGGCAGAUAUGAUGGUUGGAACGUUUCCCAAGAACUAUAAUAUUGGUCUUUCUGUAACCCGGUAAAGUGGAUGUCGUGGCCAACACACCCAGCCGGAAGACCUAUUAUUGUAGAAUCUUGAUUGAGGAAGUUGGCCACCUCCCCAUCAGGAUUUCGUAGGAUUUACUCCAGAAGUUGUUCUUAUGGAUUCUUUGUAUUCCGAAGUCCGACCACUACUUGAUGGCUAUGUUGAUGCUUUAGGCAUGACCAUAGUAAAUAGUACAUCAAGGAGAACAUUAGAAGCGGAGUGCUAAAUGUCUCUCGGUCGAUUAUCCGGAUUUCGUUCCCUUGGCCUCGUUAAGGUGAAAUCUGAGAAAGGGUUGUCUUUCUACGCAUCUGCAUUGUCCAUCACUAUUCGUCAAGGUAGUAAGAUGUGUUGCCAGGAUCCUUGUCUCGGAUAUUGGUAAAACCUUGAUGAAUGUGCAAAUGCUCAAGUUCUUGAGAGCACGCACAAGCACUAGGUAUUAUCACCAGCACUAACUGGGAUUGCUCCUAGUCUUUUCGGUUAUGCUAUAACCACUCCAACAAUGGAAUCACUCUCUACUAUUGAGCCUCUCCCCAGUGACCAGAGUCAUUCCCAACAUUUGCAUUUUGUUUCCAACUAGCACUUGCCAUUGUGCCAUUCUACCUUGGGUCCCGUCUAUUGCCGAUGAUAAACAAAAUCAUCUAUGGCAUUGUCUUCAACAAGGUAAUCCACAUCAUCCAUUCUGGUCCGAGUAUACCAUUCUACCCAACCCCUCCAAACAAUCGCUCGAGAAUUGCCUUAGGCUGGUAUAAAGAGUUUCAAUGAUCUCUGAAUCAAAGGUAAUUCUUUUUGCCACUUAGGGUAAUAACUCCACGAAUCACCCUCCUCCAAGAUGUUCCGUUAUGGUAUCAUGGCAACUCAACUCCUCGCUACGUUGACAACCGCUCACCACCUUCUUAAGCGUGAAUUUGUUGUCUACCUAGUGAACCUCCGUCGUCUGUUCCACUUCAUUCCUCUAGAUGCGUGCUUCGUGUCUCAGCUCGAGAGAUGUUUUUAUGACUCACCCCGUGAGCUGAUCCUAAGUUGUUUGAUCUUCGAGAAGAUCGAUCCUUCUAGAAUUUUCCCUUUCUACCGUUGUCAUAUUAGAUGUAGUUCCCAAAGCAAGACGUCGAGAUCAAGGUGAUGCAAAGAAUCAACAUCCUCGAGAAAGACAUCUGGAUCAUGAAGUUGUGUUAGCUUGUGUCCCCUUUGUCUUCUUACCUCACGUCUUGAAUCUCGGGACGAGAUUCUUGUUUAGUGGGGGUGAGCUGUCACAGCCCUAGCUUUAGCUUUGCUUGUGAGCUAGUCAUGUGUUGCAUCAUGUUUAAAUUUCAGUGAAACUUGAAAUGGGGAUUGCCUAAACCCUAGCAUCAAAGGAAUUCACUAGGUUCAACUAAAAUAUUUUCAGUGAACCCAAAUGGCUUCCAAAAAUGUUCAUCAUUUCUGGAAAAUACUAACCAGGGGUGUUGCACAUUUUUCCAUGACAUAUUUGGGCUCUGAAUAAAAUCUUAUAAUAUUUGCAUUUGGGCAUUUAAAUGCUAUUAAAUAUUUUAAAUGCUAAAAUAAUCAUAAACUAAAAUGUUUACUGUUGGAUAUAUUCCAAACAGUAGUCAUGAUUAGUUUCAUGAUUUUUGGUAAUGCCCUGACAUUUUUAAUAAAGCCCUGAAGUUACAAAAAAAAUAGAAAACAGAAAACAAUUUAGAAGAGAGAGAGAGAACGCCUACCUGGGCCACUUACCUGGCCGGCCCACCUGGCAGGCCCAGCACUGUGCUGGCCCGUGCCAGACAGCUGCUUCCUCUCGCCAGGCAGGCAAAGAGGUGAGCGCCGGCGUGCCCGAGCUCGCCACGCCGUCACCUACUUGCCGUCGAGCCGCUGGACGCGUGGAUGAGUUCCUCCUCGUCGCCCCGCACCCCCUGGAACCCCCUCGCUCACUGCCUCGUCCCCAUCCCCUCCUCUGGUUCUUUCCCCUGCACCGCCCGAGCGCCGCUCGCCGUCGCCGUAGCUACCGCCCACGCAGAGCCCCGUUGCCGUGUUCCACUGGUCCGCCGUCGAUCACCGCCUCACCAAGCCGAAGGACACACCGCCGGACGCCCUGUGACGACGCCUCCGAGCUCAUCACUGCCGCAUCUGUCACCGGACUUCGCCCGUCGUUCUCCGUCGUCCCUGCCUCCCCGAGCUCGACGCCUGUCUCAUUAGAACCGCGGUGAGCUGCUGACCAUUUCCCCUCUGUUCCCUUGCUUGCCCCCGCCCUCUAGUCGCCGCCGCAAGAUCACCCGAGCUCCGGCCGCCGCCAUGGCCGGCGAGCCUUGUGCUCGCGAGCUCCUCUGCUCAAACCCGCCGCACGGUUGUGCUCCUGGAGCUCCCAGGAGUCCAGAGAACCCCUUUGGCCAGCCGCUAGCACUCCAUAGCCUCGUUCCGCUCGACGUCCGAACACCGGCCGCCGCGCUUGUCAUCGCCGGCGACGAUUCCGACCACCAUAGGCUCGGCCUCCUCCACCACUCGACGCGCGCCUGCAAGAGCUCUCCAAUGAGCCCAAGAACGGCCUCGUCCGUGCCCUGUGGGAGUUUCCCGAGCCACGCCGCCGUCUCGGGCCUCGCCGGCGUCGAAUCGUCGGUGGGUUUGACCCACUUCGACCCCGGCCGGGCCCCACCUGGGUCACUGACAUGUGGGGCCAGCACUAGCUGGAUUAGUUAGAUGUUAGUUAGUUCUAAUCACCACUGUUAGGUGCUAAUCCCCUCGCUAAACUAAACCUGAGCCACUGACAUGUGGGCCCAGCCCCGCUGACAUUUUCGUUAGGAUUAGUUUAACCCUAAUCAACUCAGUUAACCAACUAAGUCACUGACCAGUGGGCCCUACUAGUCAGGUUUGACCUGGCGGCGCCUGUUGACCUGCUGAGGUCAGCAUGACCUAAUGCUGACACAAUUAACAUUUGUGGAAUUAAAGUAAAUCAGAAAUGAUUUAUAAAUUUCAAAAAAUGAUCUAAACUUCUUAAAUUCAUAGAAAAUCAACCGUAGCUCAGAAUGAAAUAAUUUAUAUAUGAAAAAUGAUCAGAAAAUCUAAUCUAUCCAUCUGCACUGGUUUCAUGCAUGUUAGAACACAUUAACCUUGCUGUUUAGGUGAAACAAGUUAAUGCACUAUUAUGACCUCUUUAAAUGGGUUUGCAUUUGAAUCUUUGGUUCAAAUGGACUCAUCUCAAUAUGUUCUAGCUUGCAUUAGCCAAAACACAUUCUUAUUGCCAUGUCAUAGCAUGCAUCAUAUUGUGCAUUGCAUUGAUCGUGUUUCUUCUCUGUUUGCCGGUGUUGUUCCCCCUUGGUAGACGUUGUGCCGACGUUGUGAUCGUUGACACUGAUGAAGACUCAAUGCUAUCUUCAGAUGUGCCAGGCAAGCAAUACCCACUUGUUCAUUCUGAUACAAUCCCACUCUCUCGCUCCUACUCUCUUUUAUUGCAUUAGGACAACAACGAUUCAUCUGUUACUUGCUGCGGUAGUUGAACCCCUUUCCUCUGCAUGACCUGUCAUUGCCACAGUAAAUAGAUGAAACGCACUAGCAUGGGUAGGAGUUGUUUGAGCCCUGAUGUGCCUACUCAUUCAUGCUUGUUUGUCAUACCUGCUACUGCUUAGAGUUGAGUCAGGUCUGAUUCAUCGGGGAUGAAUCGGAGGUGUGUAAACAUGUCCUAUUAUGUGUGAGCUAAGUGUGUGAACACGAUUUGGUAAAGGUAGCGGUGAGAGGCCAUGUAGGAGUACAUGGUGGGUUGUCUCAUUGAAGCCGUCCUCAGGAACUGAGUUCUGUGUUUGUGAUCCAUGAAACAGUUACUACCACGCAUUGGGCCCGAAACCAAUGGACCCUCUCGGCUUCUUAAUCACCCUUGUCCUCUGUCCAGAAGUUGCAAAUAGUUUCUGGUGUUUGUAGUAUGCUGGAGGCCGUGGGCAGUGCUGACCGGAGGGGUGGGCUGUGAUGCGGUAGGCACGUGGCCGGGUAUACCGGGCGCCCGUUUGGUGUCACGGAACCCUAUACACAUCGUUUGGGGCUGUGAGCAAAACCCCGGCCGGAUCUCCUCGCGGAUGGAACCCGAAUAGGCGAUAAACCUGGACUAGAGACUUGAGUGUUUAGGUAGGUCGUGGCCGACACCCUCGCUGGGCUUCCGCUUGAAGGUUGCCGAGUACAUGUCGUGUAAACGGCGGUAAGUGGUGAGAGCGUGUGUGAAGAAGUACACCCCUGCAGGGUUAACAUCAUCUAUUCGAAUAGCCGUGUCCGCGGAAAAGGACUUCUGGGUUGCCUGUAUAGUUCAUAGACAAGUGAAAGUGGAUACUCUAAAAUACGCAAGAUAAGUGUGAGUGCUAUGGAUGGCGUUCUCGUAGGGAGACGGAGCGGAUCCAUAGUGGUGUAUUGAUAUGGUGGAUAUGUGGACCGUGUGCGCCACCUCAAAAGAGUUACUUGCAGUCGUAGUUUAGGAUAGCCACCGAGUCAAAGCUGGCUUGCUGUAGUUAAACCCCACCAUCCCCUUUGUUGAUAAUGAUGCAUAUGUAGUUAGUUCUGAUGUAAGUCUUGCUGGGUACAUUUGUACUCACGUUUGCCUAUUUUAUGUUUUUGUAGAGAGACUUCAGUCUCGCUAGUAGUUCCACGUGGACUUCGACGUUUAGCUUGUUACCUCAGCUACGUUCUUGUGCCCUCGGCAGGAUCUGGUAGAUAGUCAGGCUUUUCAGCCUUUUUCAUUUGUAGAUGUCUGUACUCAGACAUGUUAAGCUUCCACAUGUGCUUGAUUUGUAUGCUCUGAAUGUUGGGUCGUGAGACCUAUGUUUAUAAUAUCUCGCUCCUCGGAGCCUAUUGAAUAAAAUACUUGAGUCGUAGAGUCAUGUUGUGAUGCCAUGUUGUAUUUGCACAUAUCGAGCAUAUUGUGUGUAUGUUAUUGAAAUGCUUGGUAUGUGUGGGAUCUGACUAACUAGUUGUUUAUCCUUAGUAGCCUCUCUUACCGAGAAAUGUCUCCUAGUGCUUCCACUGAGCCAUAGUAGCUUGCUACUGCUCCGGAACACUUAGGCUGGUCGGCAUGUGUGUCAUUCGUUCCUGUGUCUGUCCCUUUGGGGAAAUGUCACGCGAUGAAUACCGGAGUCCUGUUAGCCCGCUACAGCCCGGUUCACCGGAGUCCUGCUAGCCCAGUGCUACAGCCUGGAUUCACUCGAUGCUGGGUCAUGGAUGCCUGUCCCUGUAAGUUUGUGCCACUUUGGGUUUAUGACUAGCCAUGUCAGCCCGGGCUCCUUAUCAUAUGGAUGCUAGCGACACUAUCAUAUACGUGUGCCAAAAGGCGCAAACGGUCCCGGGCAAAGGUAAGGUGACACCCGUGGGAAUACCGUGCGGGAGGCCGCAAAGUGAUAUGAGGUGUUACAUGCUAGAUCGAUGUGGCAUUUAGUCGGGGUCCUGACAAAAAUUAUCUAUUUCUUACUUUCCAGUAGUGAUCAUCCUCGUCCACCCAUACGUCGUCUAGACAAUUAUUAGAGCAUUUCUUUCACAACGUAAAGCAUCGCCAAAAAAACAAAAUAUAGCAUACUAACUUGGUGUUGGUUUCCUUAUCUACUGUUCCGUACAUAUAUAACCAAUGUCUUUGAGUGACCUUUUUUUAUCUGAUAUUGCAUACUUCGAUAUCGCCUGUUGAUGUGCCUUCGAAUGUAAACGUCUAACUACUUUAUCAUCCCCAACAUCCAGGGUGCGAGACAGGACUGAUGUUGCUCAAAUGCAAGCAUAUGUGCCCGUGUUGAAGGAGUUUUGCCCUCUGUCUAUGACUCAAGUGUCAAUGAUGCCUCUCCAUAUUAUCGCUACCAUGUCUUAUUUGUUUUGGUUGCUCAGCAAAUGUUUUGUUGUACAAGAAUUAGACGACACUGGACCUGUAUAAUUAUGGGCUACUCAUGCAGUUUAUUAUUUAAUUUCGAAUGAUGUUAUCUGUUUCUAUUAAUAUCAUAUCAUGUAUUGGAAACUCUUCUCUAAAGUAGUCCUGCUCUAUGUGAACUUUUAAAUGUUUGCAGAGUUUCUGUAUUAAUCCUUGAAAUGUUCUAGUGGUUGUACAAAU
rnacentral:lncRNA from 1 species